rnacentral:rRNA from 1 species
GCUAGCGGCAGGCCUAACACAUGCAAGUCGAGGGGCAGCAGACCACUUCGGUGGUGCUGGCGACCGGCGCACGGGUGAGUAUCGCGUUUGUAACCUACCCUUAACUGGGGAAUAGCCCGAAGAAAUUCGGAUUAAUACCCCAUUAAAUUUUAGCACGGCAUCGUGCUUCUAUCAAAGCUCCGGCGGUUAAGGAUGGGCAUGCGUGACAUUAGUUUGUUGGUGAGGUAACGGCUCACCAAGACUACGAUGUCUAGGGGGUCUGAGAGGAUGAUCCCCCACACUGGUACUGAGACACGGACCAGACUCCUACGGGAGGCAGCAGUGAGGAAUAUUGGGCAAUGGACGCAAGUCUGACCCAGCCAUGCCGCGUGCAGGAUGACGGCCCUAUGGGUUGUAAACUGCUUUUAUACAGGAAGAAACCCCCGAACGUGUUCGGGGUUGACGGUACUGUAAGAAUAAGCAUCGGCUAACUCCGUGCCAGCAGCCGCGGUAAUACGGAGGAUGCAAGCGUUAUCCGGAUUCAUUGGGUUUAAAGGGUGCGCAGGCGGGGCAAUAAGUCAGUGGUGAAAUCCUGCGGCUUAACCGUAGAACUGCCAUUGAUACUGUUGCCCUUGAGUAUA